GACGAACGCUGGCGGCGUGCUUAACACAUGCAAGUCGAACGGAAAGGCGCGGCUCUUGUGGCGUGCUCGAGUGCCGAACGGGUGUGUAUCACGCGAGUAACCUGCCCUUGACUGUGGGAUAACUUCAGGGAACUGGGGCUAAUACCGGGUAUGAGCUCUUGCUGCACGGUGGGGAUUGGAGAGAUUCGGCGUUGCGGGAAGGACUCGCGGCUUAUCAGCUUGUUGGUGUGGUAGUGGCUUACCAAGGCUUAGACGGGUAGCCGACCUGAGCGGCUGGCAGGCGAGCAGGGAACGGCGACACGGUCCAGGCUCCGACGGGAGGCAGAAGGAGGGCAGCUUGCGCAAUGGGGGAAGGCCUGACGGAGCAACGCCGCGUGAGUGAGGAAGGGCUUCGAAUAGUAAACCUCUGUUAUUAGGGAAGAACAAGUGUGUAAGUAACUAUGCACGUCUUGACGGUACCUAAUCAGAAAGCCACGGCUAACUACGUG
rnacentral:rRNA from 1 species